AACGAACGCUGGCGGCAGGCCUAACACAUGCAAGUCGAACGGGUGUCUUCGGACACUAGUGGCGGACGGGUGAGUAACGCGUGGGAACGUGCCCUUUGGUUCGGAAUAGCCCUGGGAAACUGGGAGUAAUACCGGAUGAGCCCUACGGGGGAAAGAUUUAUCGCCAAAGGAUCGGCCCGCGUUGGAUUAGGUAGUUGGUGGGGUAAUGGCCUACCAAGCCGACGAUCCAUAGCUGGUUUGAGAGGAUGAUCAGCCACACUGGGACUGAGACACGGCCCAGACUCCUACGGGAGGCAGCAGUGGGGAAUCUUAGACAAUGGGGGAAACCCUGAUCUAGCCAUGCCGCGUGAUCGAUGAAGGCCUUAGGGUUGUAAAGAUCUUUCAGUGGGGAAGAUAAUGACGGUACCCACAGAAGAAGCCCCGGCUAACUCCGUGCCAGCAGCCGCGGUAAUACGGAGGGGGCUAGCGUUGUUCGGAAUUACUGGGCGUAAAGCGCACGUAGGCGGACCGGAAAGUCAGAGGUGAAAUCCCAGGGCUCAACCUUGGAACUGCCUUUGAAACUCCUGGUCUUGAGGUCGAGAGAGGUGAGUGGAAUUCCGAGUGUAGAGGUGAAAUUCGUAGAUAUUCGGAGGAACACCAGUGGCGAAGGCGGC
rnacentral:rRNA from 1 species